AGUGAACGCUGGCGGUAGGCCUAACACAUGCAAGUCGAACGGCAGCACAGUAAGAGCUUGCUCUUACGGGUGGCGAGUGGCGGACGGGUGAGGAAUACAUCGGAAUCUACUUUUUCGUGGGGGAUAACGUAGGGAAACUUACGCUAAUACCGCAUACGACCUACGGGUGAAAGCGGGGGAUCUUCGGACCUUGCGCGAUUGAAUGAGCCGAUGUCGGAUUAGCUAGUUGGCGGGGUAAAGGCCCACCAAGGCGACGAUCCGUAGCUGGUCUGAGAGGAUGAUCAGCCACACUGGAACUGAGACACGGUCCAGACUCCUACGGGAGGCAGCAGUGGGGAAUAUUGGACAAUGGGCGCAAGCCUGAUCCAGCCAUACCGCGUGGGUGAAGAAGGCCUUCGGGUUGUAAAGCCCUUUUGUUGGGAAAGAAAAGCAGCAGGUUAAUACCCCGCUGUUCCGACGGUACCCAAAGAAUAAGCACCGGCUAACUUCGUG
rnacentral:rRNA from 1 species